GACAGUGUGGCGUAGUGGCUUGAGUGUUGGACUAUGAACCUGGAGACCGGGGUCUGAAUCCCUGCUCAGCCA